UGCCAACAACUCCUAUCCCUACCUCCUCGUGGUACUGGCCGGGGUACGAGUAACCUUGGGGAAGAUCGGGUAAUCAACUACCGGUGGGAACUUUGGUCGUAUGCUGACAGGGAAGG
rnacentral:ribozyme from 1 species